CCCAAGGCCAGUUAUUCUAUGUCUGCUUCUUUUCUCGUCCCUGUCUUCCUGGGCCACUGGCACCAACCUUCCUGGUCACUCACUGUCUCCUUCCAUUCCAUACUUCAGGCCUUGUACCCCUGCUGACCUCUCAAAUCACUGUACCAUAAAUACCUCUGGAUCCCCAGCCUCUUUAAGGAGUACCCUCUGGCCCCUCCCCUCUUUGCCAUCACAGAAGCCCAGCUGGCCCCCCCCAGGACUCUGCAGUCCUCACUGCUCUCUAGAAUGGAGGCAGCUCCUUCCUCCUCACCUGCCAGCCACCCCCAGUGCUGCUUCCAGGCCUUUAUUUUUCACCUUUACAAAAUACCCCUCUGCACGCUCAGCAAAACAUUAAUUCUAGAUAAAUCCAACUACCCAUUCUC
rnacentral:lncRNA from 10 species